rnacentral:tRNA from 1 species
GGGCGCGUAGCUCAGCUGGCUAGAGCGCCACACUCACAUUGUGGAGGUCGUGGGUUCGAGUCCCGCCGUGCCCA